GAUGAAGAACGCAGCGAAAUGCGAUACUUGGAGUGAAUUGCAGAAUCCCGUGAACCAUCGAGUCUUUGAACGCAAGUUGCGCCUCAAGCCAUUAGGUUGAGGGCACGUCUGCCUGGGCGUCACAUAUCGUUGCCUGAUGCCAGUUUCCUCGUGAUGGGUGACUGUGCAGGGCGAAUGAUGGCUUCCCGUGAGCAUUGUUGCCUCAUGGUUGGUUGAAAAUUGAGUCCUUGGUAGGGAGCGCCGUGAUAGAUGGUGGUUGAGUGACGAACGAGACCCAAUCAUGUGAGACCCCUACCGAAUUUGGCCUUCAUGACCCACAUGCGUCUUUGGAACGCUCAUGACGAGACCUCAGGUCAGGCGGGGCUACCCGCUGAGUUUAAGCAUAUCAAUAAGCGGAGGA
rnacentral:misc_RNA from 1 species